rnacentral:rRNA from 1 species
AUACGGGGGGUGCAAGCGUUAUUCGGAGUUAUUGGGCGUAAAGGGCGCGUAGGCGGCUUGGUAAGUCAGAUGUGAAAGCCCGGGGCUUAACCCCGGAAGUGCAUUUGAAACUAUCAGGCUUGAGUAUGGGAGAGGGAAGUGGAAUUCCUGGUGUAGAGGUGAAAUUCGUAGAUAUCAGGAGGAACACCGGUGGCGAAGGCGACUUCCUGGACCAAUACUGACGCUGAGGCGCGAAGGCGUGGGGAGCAAACAGGAUUAGAAACCCCAGUAGUCC